GGGGCCCCAUGGUAGCACCCACGGGAGGGCGGCAGGAUGGAGGGACCCAGGCAGCACUGACAGCACCAAAUGCUAGGGGCACUCAGGGUCCUGGAAACUCUCAUCCAGGUCUGCUGGGAACGUGACAUGGCACAGCCACUUUGGCCACCAGUUGGGCAGUGGCUUAUAAAGCUCAAUGCACUUGAACCACAUGUCCCCAAAGUGUCACAGAUAUUGAACCCAAUGACUUGGAAACUGAUGUACACAUGAAACCUGCAUGCCACGUUCACUGCUUCAUUCAUCGUCACUCACACACAGAGCCUUUGGGGACGACCGUCAGCAUGGGAAUGGGGCGAGGAAGGUUGGUUCUGCCUUGAAGCAGUGAGAAAAGGGAACAAGCCGGUGAUGCCCACAUGAACGUGGGUGGAACCUAGAUGCAUUUUGCUAAGAGAAAGAAGCCAGACUCAAAAAGCUACCACUGUAGGAUUCCCAUUCAUAGGCCAUUCUGGAAAAGGGCGAACCAGAGGGACUGAGAACCGGUCUGGGUGACCAGGAGCUGAUGGAAUGGGGAAGGUGGGCUGCAUAGAGGCCACUCUGGAGACUUGAAGGAUGAAGGAGUCGCUCCCGGAGGGGCUGGAGCAGUGGCCGGAGACUCUGCACAUUGGGUUAGAACGGUGGCAGAACUGUACACCCAAAGACUGAACUGGCGUGUGUGCAAACUGAAAAAGAAAUCAAUCAAAGCAAAAAUGAUUACUCAACUCACUGUCCAACUGGGAUAUGUGCAUUUCAUAGAUGUGGACUUUACUGAAACAUUUCUUAAACAGUCAAAGGCCCGGGAGCACUCACUGCUUGUCUGGUGAAUCAUCUGAACCUGAAAUGGGAUUUGUUGUUAGGGUUUGUAGACAAAGUGAAACUAAUAGCAUCUCCACAAAAGAAACGAAAGCCCCCUUUCUCUGUCUCCUAGGCAGCAGGAACUAUUCCACGUCCUGCUGGCCUAUGCAGAGUAUAAUCCGCCCAGGAGCCUGGCGGUGUCGCACGCAGGACAGUGCUCUCAGGAGACAUUUUGACCAAUUGCUGAAGUGCCUGAUGGACAUCGCUCUUGUCACGAAAUGAAAUGAAUUUGCAUCCCGAGGAAGCUGCUUCUUCAGAGGAAGCCUCCCCAGUCAC
rnacentral:lncRNA from 13 species